rnacentral:rRNA from 1 species
UGUUAAAGGGAAGCGCUUGCAGCCAGACGUGCCUGUAGUUGCUCAUCGGGGGUUCUCCCCCCUGUACUCUUCUAUGGGCAGGCCAGCAUCAGUCCGGGCGGUUGGAGAAAGACCUGUGUCAUGUGGCUGUUUUCGGGCAGUGUUAUAGGGCAGGUGGAAUGCAACCAGCCUGGACUGAGGUCCGCGCAUCUGCUAGGAUGCUGGCGUAAUGGCUGUAAGCGGCCCGUCUUGAAACACGGACCAAGGAGUCUAACAUCUAUGCGAGUGUUUGGGUGUCAAGCCCGAGCGCGUAAUGAAAGUGAACGGAGGUGGGAACCUUUUAGGUGCACCAUCGACCGAUCCUGAUGUCUUCGGAUGGAUUUGAGUAAGAGCAUAGCUGUUGGGACCCGAAAGAUGGUGAACUAUGCCUGAAUAGGGUGAAGCCAGAGGAAACUCUGGUGGAGGCUCGCAGCGGUUCUGACGUGCAAAUCGAUCGUCAAAUUUGGGCAUAGGGGCGAAAGACUAAUCGAACUAUCUAGUAGCUGGUUCCUGCCGAAGUUUCCCUCAGGAUAGCAGUAACGUUUUCAGUUUUAUGAGGUAAAGCGAAUGAUUAGAGGCCUGGGGGUUGAAACAACCUUCACCUAUUCUCAAACUUUAAAUAUGUAAGAAGUCCUUGUUUCUUAAUUGAACGUGGACAUUUGAAUGUAUCGUUACUAGUGGGCCAUUUUUGGUAAGCAGAACUGGCGAUGCGGGAUGAACCGAACGCGGGGUUAAGGUGCCAGAAUGCACGCUCAUCAGACACCACAAAAGGUGUUAGUUCAUCUAG